GGGGGUUCUGGUAGAGAGUCAAUGUGCAGGGGUACAGGUUAGUAUUGAGGUUAUAUACAGGGGGUUCUGGUAGAGAGUCAAUGUGCAGGGGUACAGGUUAGUAUUGAGGUUAUAUACAGGGGGUUCUGGUAGAGAGUCAAUGUGCAGGGGUACAGGUUAGUAUUGAGGUUAUAUACAGGGGGUUCUGGUAGAGAGUCAAUGUGCAGGGGUACAGGUUAGUAUUGAGGUUAUAUACAGGGGGUUCUGGUAGAGAGUCAAUGUGCAGGGGUACAGGUUAGUAUUGAGGUUAUAUACAGGGGGUUCUGGUAGAGAGUCAAUGUGCAGGGGUACAGGUUAGUAUUGAGGUUAUAUACAGGGGGUUCUGGUAGAGAGUCAAUGUGCAGGGGUACAGGUUAGUAUUGAGGUUAUAUACAGGGGGUUCUGGUAGAGAGUCAAUGUGCAGGGGUACAGGUUAGUAUUGAGGUUAUAUACAGGGGGUUCUGGUAGAGAGUCAAUGUGCAGGGGUACAGGUUAGUAUUGAGGUUAUAUACAGGGGGUUCUGGUAGAGAGUCAA